rnacentral:rRNA from 1 species
CCCUUAGAUGUUCUGGGCCGCACGCGCGCUACACUGACGAAUGCAACGAGCUUAUAAACUUGGCCGAAAGGUCUGGGUAAUCUCCAAAUUUCGUCGUGAUGGGGAUAGAUUAUUGCAAUUAUUAAUCUUCAACGAGGAAUGCCUAGUAAGCGCAAGUCAUCAGCUUGCGUUGAUUACGUCCCUGCCCUUUGUACACACCGCCCGUCGCUCCUACCGAUUGAAUGGUCCGGUGAAGCGUUCGGACCGUGGCCUUUGGACGGUUCGCCGUCUGUUGGCUGCGGGAAGUUCGUUAAACCUUAUCAUUUAGAGGAAGGAGAAGUCGUAACA